AACACAGAACCGUUCUUCUAUAGGAAGUCUAUAUUCGUUGAUACAAGUAUAGCUGAUGUACAUUAUGCGUCCGUGUGUAGAUUGAUUAGGCGCGGUUUUGGUGUAUCGUAACGCGAGGAGGCUAACUUGUGACGAAUUAUCUCGUGCGAGUGAUAAGAUUAGGUUUACGGUUGACGAGUGCAUUGUUGGCUUUUUACUGUGACUGGCAUGGGGAGAUUCUUCUUUUACUGCAAAUGUUUUUCAAACGUGAAAGUUUCUGAUGAUUAAUAUUCAGUCUGUUUCGGAUCUUGGACGGCUGAACCCAUAACGUAAAUUCGGUUGACGCUGUGAGUGAAACUGGGAUCGAGUGACGCUGCCAGAGCCACGUUUGUCAGUGGACCAAGAGUUAAGAUGCUUAUGUUACCUAAAAAAUACGAUAGGUUUCGAUUUACGUAAAAAUGCGUGUUUAGAACUGUCAACUCUGCCGACGAUAUCUCUGCCAAACUCGAAAUCGCCAAGUCCAUCUUUGCCAAAGUAAUCGCCUGCUGUGUAAUUCUGCAACAAAGGUUUCUUCGCUCCACCAUAUACAGGAAUCUGAAAUAACAAAACAAAAUGAUCGAGUCGAUGCUUGAGCAAAAUUAUAAGAGCGUUUAUUUCUAAAGCACAAGAAUAAAAAUCUUAAUAACUCACAUCGGAUCGACCAGCCACAGUCAGAAUCUUGAGUACGUUAGUCUCGACGUUCGCCUCGUCUGUGUUCCCGUAAACGCAUGUGAUAGCGAUGACUUGCACCUCCUUGGAGGCCAACGCCAGGAGUAUAGCGACGGCAUCGUCUCCGCCCGCGUCGGUGUCUAUUAUCAACUUCAUCGGACGUGCUGCUCUAGUACUCGUUUCUUGACUAAGGACAACGUAAAUUAUGCUAAAAUAUUAUGACUUGACACGCGCUCGUGUUGAUUCAUAAUGUUUGACGAAACGGCUGAGCACCGAGUGGAGUUAUUAUUAGUUCGGGUAACAAAAGAUUUGUUUUGCACAGAAUUUUGCGUUGAGAGAAAGACAGAGAUCGAGAUUGCGGUACCUAGUACAAUCUGAGUGAACUUGAGAACUUAGUUGCUUACAGCAUAUUACAGAUAAGAUGAUUCACUUUAUGAAAUUAUUUGUUUAAUACUUUGAAAUUGUUAUCUUAAGUUGACUACAUGUUCUUGAGUUAUGAAAAUGAUAUUGUUAAAUAUUUUGUUGACCUAUCAAUUACAAUACUUUCGCGCAAAGCAAAAAAAAACGCUAAUUCACAUACCAAAGAUGAACUGUAAGGACGCCAAGAAAAACUACCAGAACCUUCCAAAACAUUUUUCAAACUUUUUUUAUUCUCGUAUACAAAGUUGAACUGGAUAAAAAAGUAUAAAAAACGUGCUCAAUAUAUCGAUUAUGAACACGCAAGCGCGACGCGUCAAAUUCAAUUUGUGAUACCAGCUCACACUUGACCGCAGUCUUAUUCUAACCAAGCACCGCACGGUGCGAUGUUGCAUAAGGCGAGUUAUACAAAUAGAAAUUCAGAGAAUCUUAUCCGUAUCGACAUAACUUAUUGCAUCGGUGUACAGUGCUAGGCACUUAACCAUUUAAGAGUAUGAGCAACAGAAGCAAUUGGCAUGGCCUGUGAAUCGGAGUCCGGGGAUUUCCGUGCGCUGAACUUUUUUUGUGAAUGAUGAAGCUCAGUUAUGUUAAAUAUAUUGCAAUACUGAUAUCUAUUAUAACUGUUAAAAAAUAUUCUUAGAGCGAUUUUAUUUGUAAAACUAAAUUACUUUUUCCGUAUUUCAUGUUGGUCUUUGUCGGGUUUCAAGAUUUCAUAAAAAGAAAUCAGUCGAAAAUAGUUUAAUCUGGUAUCUUGUGCUUCUCAAAUAAAUUAUAUGACGACUGCGGCCUAUUAGACUACAUACCGUACUUUAAAAGAAAUGCUACGAUUUCUCAAUCAUCGAAUUAAUUUGUUUAGUAUCACGAAAGAACUAGCUCGCUGCAGUAGCAGACUUUCUUUUAGCAGCAAAGAAUCUUGCAAGGGCCUGAACGCAGCUUCCGAAAUUUGGCUGUAUUGUUAGCGUGCGCUGGAUCCAGCCGGGCAGCGACUUGGUCUUGUUGGAGUACCGACGAUCUAGUAAGACUACGGUCGAAUAGUCAGCGAUGUGGCGAACCGCCCUACCAAUGCACUGGUUAACAGCUUUCAUGCAAGAGUUCUCAUAAAAGACGCUCCCUGCGUUUGGAUUCUGUCAUUCCAAAAUUUAAGAAUUUAAAAAUAUUUGCAUAAUAAGAUCGCAUACUCAAUAAAAGUAUAACUUACAACA
rnacentral:lncRNA from 1 species